CGUCUAUAUACGUAUAGCAUAUCAAUAAGCGGAGGAAAAGAAACUAACUAGGAUUCCCUCAGUAACGGCGAGUGAAGCGGGAAGAGCUCAAAUUUGAAAUCUUCAAGGUUUUACCUUGACGAAUUGUAGUUUAAAGAAGUGUUUUCUGUUGAAGUUUCGGUAAAAGUUCUUUGGAAUAGGACAUCAUAGAGGGUGAGAAUCCCGUAUUUGACGUUAUUCAUUCUAGCUGUGUGAUACACUUUCAAAGAGUCGGAUUGUUUGGGAAUGCAGUCCAAAAUGGGUGGUAAAUUUCAUCUAAAGCUAAAUAUUGGCGAGAGACCGAUAGCGAACAAGUACCGUGAGGGAAAGAUGAAAAGAACUUUGAAAAGAGAGUUAAACAGUACGUGAAAUUGUCAAAAGGGAAGCGUUUGACACCAGUGUUGUUUUUCUCGAAAAUCAAUUAAGAAUGGCUUGAUUUUGUGUUGUAGUCUUUUAAUGCACUUUUCGUUUAACAAGUCAACAUCAAUUUCUUUUGUUGUAAAAGAGUCAUUGGAAGGUGGCUUUCAUUUCGGUGAAAGUGUUUAUAGCCUUUGGCUUCUGCAAUCGGAGAGAUUGAGGUCUGCAGCGUAGAUCCUUCGGGGCUAGAUACGUAGAUGCUAAGUUAUAGUUUUUUAUAGACAACUUGUUGACUAUAAUUAAUCAUGUAGCUUACUCGUUUGCGCUAUUUUACCUACGCUUAGGAUGUUGACUGAUAUGUAGUCGUA
rnacentral:rRNA from 1 species